rnacentral:rRNA from 1 species
GAGUUUGAUCAUGGCUCAGGAUGAACGCUGGCGGCGUGCUUAACACAUGCAAGUCGAACGAACCUUCGGGUUAGUGGCGGACGGGUGAGUAACGCGUGGGAAUCUGCCCUCAGGAGGGGGAUAACGGUUGGAAACGACCGCUAAUACCCCAUAUGCCGAGAGGUGAAAUGAAUUUCGCCUGAGGAUGAGCCCGCGUCUGAUUAGCUUGUUGGUGAGGUAAUGGCUCACCAAGGCAUCGAUCAGUAGCUGGUCUGAGAGGAUGAUCAGCCACACUGGGACUGAGACACGGCCCAGACUCCUACGGGAGGCAGCAGUGGGGAAUUUUCCGCAAUGGGCGAAAGCCUGACGGAGCAACGCCGCGUGAGGGACGAAGGCCUCUGGGCUGUAAACCUCUUUUCUCAAGGAAGAAGAUAUGACGGUACUUGAGGAAUAAGCCGCGGCUAAUUCCGUGCCAGCAGCCGCGGUAAUACGGGAGUGGCAAGCGUUAUCCGGAAUUAUUGGGCGUAAAGCGUCCGCAGGCGGCCCUUCAAGUCUGCUGUUAAAGCGUGGAGCUUAACUCCAUCAUGGCAGUGGAAACUGAUUGGCUUGAGUAUGGUAGGGGCAGAGGGAAUUCCCGGUGUAGCGGUGAAAUGCGUAGAUAUCGGGAAGAACACCAGUGGCGAAGGCGCUCUGCUGGGCCAUUACUGACGCUCAUGGACGAAAGCCAGGGGAGCGAAAGGGAUUAGAUACCCCUGUAGUCCUGGCCGUAAACGAUGAACACUAGGUGUCGGGGGAAUCGACCCCUUCGGUGUCGUAGCUAACGCGUUAAGUGUUCCGCCUGGGGAGUACGCACGCAAGUGUGAAACUCAAAGGAAUUGACGGGGGCCCGCACAAGCGGUGGAGUAUGUGGUUUAAUUCGAUGCAACGCGAAGAACCUUACCAGGGCUUGACAUCCUGCGAACCUUUAAGAAAUUAGAGGGUGCCUUCGGGAACGCAGUGACAGGUGGUGCAUGGCUGUCGUCAGCUCGUGUCGUGAGAUGUUGGGUUAAGUCCCGCAACGAGCGCAACCCACGUUUUUAGUUGCCAGCAUUUAGUUGGGCACUCUAGAAAGACCGCCGGUGAUAAACCGGAGGAAGGUGUGGAUGACGUCAAGUCAUCAUGCCCCUUACGUCCUGGGCUACACACGUACUACAAUGCUACGGACAAAGGGCAGCAAACUCGCGAGAGCUAGCAAAUCCCAUAAACCGUGGCUCAGUUCAGAUCGUAGGCUGCAACUCGCCUACGUGAAGUAGGAAUCGCUAGUAAUCGCAGGUCAGCAUACUGCGGUGAAUACGUUCCCGGGCCUUGUACACACCGCCCGUCACACCAUGGAAGUUGGCCAUGCCCGAAGUCGUUACUUUAACCCUUGUGGAGAAGGACGCCGAAGGUGGGGCUGAUGACUGGGGUGAAGUCGUAACAAGGUAACC